UGUGGGAAAUCCUUCUAUAGAAAGUCACACCUCACUCUGCACCAGAGAACUCACGCAGGGGAGAGACCCUAUGAGUGUAAAGAAUGUGGGAAAUCCUUCUAUAGAAAGACUCAUCUAACUCUGCAUCAGAGAAGUCACUAAAGAAAGACAUCCUAUGAGUGUAAUAAACGUGGAGAGGUCUUUUUUUUAGAAAGAUUCAUCUGACUCUGCAUCAGAAAAUUCACAUGGGAGAACCUGAAAUUGUGUUGAAUGUGAGAAAGGUUUUGGCAAGAAGCCAGUCCUAAAGGUUUCAGAGAACCCACAAGGGGGAGAGACCCUAUAAAUGCAGUAAACCUUGAGAAAAAGUUUUAACAGCAUCUCAGGUCUUAAGAAUGCAUCAAAGAAGUUAGUCACACAGGGGAGAAACCCUAUUGACAUGUUGAAUAAAGGAAAAUCUUUGGCCAAAAGUCAGGCCUUGGCAAACAUCAGAGGACAAACCCUAUGUGUGUAAUGGACAUGGGGAAGCUUUGGAAGUGAAGCGUCAGAGAACGCAGGGAAAGUACCAGGAAUGGAGUAAAUGUAGGAGGUUCUUCUACAAGAGAUCAAACAUGAACAAAAACUCGAGAGCAAUCCUCUGUUUACUGUGUGUGGACAGUCUUCAACCAGAUUUCAGCCCUCAUUGGACAUCAGAGGCCACGCAGGAGUCAAAUCCUUGAAAUCAGUCACUACGAACAGCCUUUCGCCGAGACUGUUCACUGGGUGUUACCUGUGAAGUUAAGGGAUGUGGGGAACUUCCACAGCAAGGCAGCCUUCAGCCUGAUUGUUCUGGAACCCAACCUGAGUGUAGUAGCAAUUACGUACUUUCUCAUCAUGCAGACACUUCAGAGGAUACAUUUGGAUGGUCAAAAUACCCUGUGUUCCAAUUUUCUCGUCUAGCCAGUGUGUAUAAGCAAGACUGUUGGUACUGAAUUGCCUCUUCAGGCAAGACGCCAAACACUGUUCUCUGUAAGACUUCACUGUCUCAGGGUCAGCCGUGCGAUUAGUGUGAACAUAUUCCUGUGUGUAAAAAUCUCAGCAGUUGCUUGGAGAACAAAUCUGUUUCAAGGGAAGAGCUGCUGUGAAGAGUGAUACUUACUGUUUUCAUUGUAAACAGAAAAGGGGACAGUGUGUAGGUGUCAUGUAUUUGGGUACAACAAAUUCUCAAGGGAGACCCUUAACCAUUCUUGCUGCUGCAGUUUUCUGUCUUCUGUGCUCUGCCAUCCUAUGCUCUGUCAGCGGAGUUGUCAUUCUGAAGA